AUUGAACGCUGGCGGCAUGCUUUACACAUGCAAGUCGAACGGCAGCGCGGGCUUCGGCCUGGCGGCGAGUGGCGAACGGGUGAGUAAUGCAUCGGAACGUGCCCAGUAGUGGGGGAUAGCCCGGCGAAAGCCGGAUUAAUACCGCAUACGACCUGAGGGUGAAAGCGGGGGACCGAAAGGCCUCGCGCUAUUGGAGCGGCCGAUGUCGGAUUAGCUAGUUGGUGGGGUAAAGGCUUACCAAGGCGACGAUCCGUAGCUGGUCUGAGAGGACGACCAGCCACACUGGGACUGAUACACGGCCCAGACUCCUACGGGAGGCAGCAGUGGGGAAUUUUGGACAAUGGGGGCAACCCUGAUCCAGCCAUGCCGCGUGCGGGAAGAAGGCCUUCGGGUUGUAAACCGCUUUUGUUCGGGAAGAAAUCCUCUGGGCUAAUACCCCGGGGGGAUGACGGUACCGGAAGAAUAAGCACCGGCUAACUACGUG
rnacentral:rRNA from 1 species